rnacentral:rRNA from 1 species
GCUCAGGACGAACGCUGGCGGCGUGCCUAAUACAUGCAAGUUGAGCGCUGAAGGUUGGUACUUGUACCGACUGGAUGAGCAGCGAACGGGUGAGUAACGCGUGGGGAAUCUGCCUUUGAGCGGGGGACAACAUUUGGAAACGAAUGCUAAUACCGCAUAAAAACUUUAAACACAAGUUUUAAGUUUGAAAGAUGCAAUUGCAUCACUCAAAGAUGAUCCCGCGUUGUAUUAGCUAGUUGGUGAGGUAAAGGCUCACCAAGGCGAUGAUACAUAGCCGACCUGAGAGGGUGAUCGGCCACAUUGGGACUGAGACACGGCCCAAACUCCUACGGGAGGCAGCAGUAGGGAAUCUUCGGCAAUGGACGAAAGUCUGACCGAGCAACGCCGCGUGAGUGAAGAAGGUUUUCGGAUCGUAAAACUCUGUUGGUAGAGAAGAACGUUGGUGAGAGUGGAAAGCUCAUCAAGUGACGGUAAC